CCCUUAGACGUUCUGGGCCGCACGCGCGCUACACUGACCAGUGCAACAAGCAUCCGUCCUUGGCCGACAGGCUCGGGCAAUCUUUGAACGCUGGUCGUGAUGGGGAUAGACUUUUGCAAUUUUUGGUCUUCAACGAGGAAUUCCUAGUAAACGCAAGUCAUCAGCUUGCAUUGAUUACGUCCCUGCCCUUUGUACACACCGCCCGUCGCACCUACCGAUUGAAUGGUCCGGUGAAAUCUCGGGACGGCGGCUUGGUCGCUUGCGUCCGACUGCUGAAACUUGAUUAAACCAUAUCAUUUAGAGGAAGGUGAAGUCGUAACA
rnacentral:rRNA from 1 species